UUGGAAACAACAUGAGGCUGAGUAAAUGACAUUUUUAAAGAGGAGAAAAUUUUCCAGUUGAUGGCAGUAUUCUUACAGUAUCAUUAUGUGCAUAUAAAUUACAGCAGAUAGUGAAGGGUUAACUAGAGAGGCUUUGCCCCACCUCCCUCUCCCUCCCAUGUGAAACAGUAUCAUGUUUUGCCUCACUCUUCUCUGCACUUCCAUAAUGGCUGGUCGUCUUUUAGUGAGCUCUGCAGAAAGAAGGAUCAGAUUCGGUUUUCUGAGGCCCAUGACAGUGGCCACAGACGUCAGGAGAGGGACAGUGGGUAAUGCUGCUGCUUCUGUCACUGUCCAGGACAGCCACGGGAAGCUCAAGACUGUGGCUGACCUCCCAGAAAUCAAAACCUUUAGGAUGAUGUACAGACUGAUCUUUAAACAGUACCUGAAUCGCAUGCAUGAGCUGCAGUUAUAUGAAAAACAGCUUUAUGGCCCUUUGUACAAA